rnacentral:rRNA from 1 species
AUGCCUGGAUCUUUGAAUGAUAUCAAUGUUCUCAACCGGUCACCACUGAUGAAUAAGAUUGCAAACGGUGAGUUGCCACCUGUGCAGUUUGUAGCAAAUGGCCAUACAUACAACUAUGGCUAUUAUCUAGCGGAUGGCAUCUAUCCAAAGUGGCAAAACCUUCGUGAAGCCGUUGAAAAAACCGAAGGUAAGAAAAAUCUUGAUUUCCACAAUGCUCAGGCGGCGGCUAGAAAAGAUGUGGAGAGAGUAUUUGGGAUUUUGCAAGCCCAAUUUGCUAUUGUGAGAGGACCGGCAAGAUUUUGGGAUCAACAAAUGUUUUGGUACAUCAUGCACGCUUGUGUGAUCAUGCACAACAUGAUCAUCGAGAAUGAGCUUGGCCAAGAGUUGUACUGA